CGCACAUUGCGCCCUUUGGUAUUCCGAAGGGCAUGCCUGUUCGAGCGUCAUUAAAACCCUCAAGCUUUGCUUGGUGCUGGGCGUCUGUCUACUUGACUCGCCUCAAAUACAUCGGCAGAAGAUCGCGCGUACACGGAGCAGCACAUGCAGAAGUGAGCGCAACGGUCCGGCCGCCGCACGGCAUUUUCAUCUUGACCUCGGAUCAGGUAGGGAUACCCGCUGAACUUAA
rnacentral:misc_RNA from 1 species